CGCUGGCGGCGUGCCUAACACAUGCAAGUCAACUUGACUGAAGAGCAAUCUGACAGUAGAGUGGCGCAAGGGUGCGUAACGCGUAAGUAACUUGCCCAAGGUAAGGAAUAACGUCGAGAAAUCGGCGCUAAUACCUCAUAAUGCAGCGGAUCCGCAUGGAUAUGUUGUUAAAGGUUUACCGCCUUGGGAUAGGCUUGCGUCUGAUUAGCUAGUUGGUGUGGUAACGGCACACCAAGGCUACGAUCAGUAACUGGUCUGAGAGGAUGAUCAGUCACACUGGAACUGAGACACGGUCCAGACUCCUACGGGAGGCAGCAGUGAGGAAUAUUGGGCAAUGCUCGAAAGAGUGACCCAGCAACGCCGCGUGGAGGAUGAAGGUAUUCUAUAUCGUAAACUCCUGUGAGAGCAGACGAAAGACAGAUUAUUAAUCUGGAUGACUGUAUGCUCAGAGGAAGCCCCGGCUAACUACGUG
rnacentral:rRNA from 1 species